rnacentral:ncRNA from 2 species
AAAAUUUGUUUUCCAUAAUGCUUGCCCCAAAGGGCAUUCAAGGGAACCCGGUGAAAUUCCGGGACGGUCCCGCCGCUGUAAGCGAGUACCGGUUUUUGCACAAGGCCACUGAAGUAUGUUUUAAAAUGCUUUGGGAAGGCGCAUCAAUCGGGUUGAUCCGCAAGUCAGAAGACCUGCUGUAUGGAAAAAUAACCU